rnacentral:rRNA from 1 species
CUACGGGGUGCUCCAGUGAGGAAUAUUGCACAAUGGGGGGAACCCUGAUGCAGCAACGCCGCGUGGAGGAUGACGCAUUUCGGUGUGUAAACUCCUUUUAUAUGUCAAGAAAAUGACGGUAGCAUAUGAAUAAGCACCGGCUAACUCCGUGCCAGCAGCCGCGGUAAUACGGAGGGUGCAAGCGUUACUCGGAAUCACUGGGCGUAAAGGACGCGUAGGCGGGUUGGAAAGUCAGGUGUGAAAUCCUACAGCUUAACUGUAGAACUGCACUUGAAACUUCUAAUCUAGAGUAUGGGAGGGGAGAUGGAAUUAGUGGUGUAGGGGUAAAAUCCGUAGAUAUCACUAGGAAUACCUAAAGCGAAGGCGAUCUCCUGGAACAUUACUGACGCUAAGGCGUGAAAGCGUGGGGAGCAAACAGGAUUAGAUACCCGAGUAGUC